CCAAAGGCUCUUUUCAGAGCCACCUACCUUCUCAGUGAAAGAGCUU
rfam:Myotis lucifugus cont2.30070, whole genome shotgun sequence.